CGUAGGGGGCAAGCGUUGUCCGGAUUUAUUGGGCGUAAAGAGCGUGUAGGCGGCCAGGUAGGUCCGUUGUGAAAACUCGAGGCUCAACCUCGAGACGCCGAUGGAAACCAUCUGGCUAGAGUCCGGAAGAGGAGAGUGGAAUUCCCGGUGUAGCGGUGAAAUGCGCAGAUAUCGGGAAGAACACCCGUGGCUAAGGCGGCUCUCUAGUACGGUACUGACGCUGAGACGCGAAAGCGUGGGGAGCGAACAGG
rnacentral:rRNA from 1 species